rnacentral:rRNA from 1 species
CACGUAGGGCGCAAGCGUUGUCCGGAAUCAUUGGGCGUAAAGAGCUCGUAGGCGGUUUGUCACGUCUGCUGUGAAAACUCGGGGCUUAACCCCGAGCUUGCAGUGGAUACGGGCAGACUAGAGGUAGGUAGGGGAGAAUGGAAUUCCCGGUGUAGCGGUGAAAUGCGCAGAUAUCGGGAGGAACACCGGUGGCGAAGGCGGUUCUCUGGGCCUGACCUGACGCUGAGGAGCGAAAGCGUGGGGAGCGAACAGG